GUCUUUGUAUUCUAGUGGUUAUGAUUUUUCCUUCACACUGCGUGGAACGCUUCUCGCGUCAACGGAAGAGGUCCUGGGUUCGACCCCCAGCGAAGACA